UAAUAUAAAUAAUUAAUUAAAAUAAAUUUUAUAAUGCAAAUAAAUUAAUAAUAUAUAUUUUUAAUAUUGUUUAUUAAAAUAAUAAAAAUAUAUAUUGUGUAAUACUUUAAUUUUUCAUGCGAUUUCGAUUAUCGAAAUAAUCGAAAUAAUCGAAAGAUCGAGUUUCGUCGCCAGCCAAUGAGAGAGCUUCUUGGCGACUUUUGGCGCGCAAUGUCAGUCUUCUGUGGAAAGUGAACAAGUGAGGACGUGUGAUCGCUGCCGGCUUGGAAAAUUCUACUGCGCAAUUGUUACUUGAUUAUCGGACCUGUAUAUUGGUCGGGAAGGCGGGAAAAAUUCCAACAUGGACGCCAUUAUAUUUUUUCAAAGGGAAGCUUGAUUUUUCGCUCGUCUAUUAUAUAUCAAUUCUAUUUCAAGAAAAUUUUGUAUCAUCGAUUAAUAAAUAUUUAUAUGUUAUUUUACUAAUUAUUUAGAAUUUUAUUUGUUU